UACGUAGGGAGCAAGCGUUGUCCGGAAUCAUUGGGCGUAAAGCGUGCGUAGGUGGCUUCGUAAGUCCGUUGUGAAAGUCAAAGGCUCAACCUUUGAAAGCCGAUGGAUACUGUGAAGCUAGAGUACGGAAGAGGCGAGUGGAAUUCCUGGUGUAGCGGUGGAAUGCGCAGAUAUCAGGAGGAACACCAAUAGCGAAGGCAGCUCGCUGGGACGUUACUGACGCUGAGACGCGAAAGCGUGGGGAGCAAACAGG
rnacentral:rRNA from 1 species